rnacentral:rRNA from 1 species
AAUCAACGCUGGCGGCGUGCCUCAAACAUGCAAGUCGAACGAUUAAAGCUCUCUUCGGAGAGUGUAUAGAGUGGCGCACGGGUGAGUAACACGUAAGUAAUCUACCUUUGAGUGGGGAAUAACGUCCGGAAACGGACGCUAAUACCGCAUAAUGCAGCGGCAUCGCAAGAUGACAGUUGUUAAAGAUUUAUCGCUUGAAGAGGAGCUUGCGGCAAAUUAGCUAGUUGGUAAGGUAAUGGCUUACCAAGGCUACGAUCUGUAACCGGUCUAAAAGGACGGUCGGUCACACUGACACUGAAUAACGGGUCAAACUCCUACGGGAGGCAGCAGUCGGGAAUUUUGGGCAAUGGGCGAAAGCCUGACCCAGCAACGCCGCGUGAAGGAUGAAGUAUUUCGGUAUGUAAACUUCGAAAGAAUAGGAAGAAUAAAUGACGGUACUAUUUAUAAGGUCCGGCUAACUACGUG